rnacentral:rRNA from 1 species
GAUGAACGCUGGCGGCGUGCCUAAUACAUGCCAGUCGAGCGAACGGACGAGAAGCUUGCUUCUCUGAUGUUAGCGGCGGACGGGUGAGUAACACGUGGAUAACCUACCUAUAAGACUGGGAGAACUUCGGGAAACCAGAGCUAAUACCGGAGAAUAUUUUGAACCGCAUGGUUCAAAAGUGAAAGACGGUCUUGCUGUCACUUAUAGAUGGAUCCGCGCUGCAUUAGCUAGUUGGUAAGGUAACGGCUUACCAAGGCAACGAGGCAUAGCCGACCUGAGAGGGUGAUCGGCCACACUGGAACUGAGACACGGUCCAGACUCCUACGGGAGGCAGCAGUAGGGAAUCUUCCGCAAUGGGCGAAAGCCUGACGGAGCAACGCCGCGUGAGUGAUGAAGGUCUUCGGAUCGUAAAACUCUGUUAUUAGGGAAGAACAUAUGUGUAAGUAACUGUGCACAUCUUGACGGUACCUAAUCAGAAAGCCACGGCUAACUACGUG